UACGAAGGGACCUAGCGUAGUUCGGAAUUACUGGGCUUAAAGAGCUCGUAGGUGGUUAGAAAAGUUGGUGGUGAAAUCCCAAGGCUUAACCUUGGAACUGCUAUCAAAACUUUUUAACUAGAGUAUGAUAGAGGAAAGUGGAAUUUCUAGUGUAGAGGUGAAAUUCGUAGAUAUUAGAAAGAAUACCAAUUGCGAAGGCAGCUUUCUGGAUCAUUACUGACACUGAGGAACGAAAGCAUGGGUAGCGAAGAGG
rnacentral:rRNA from 1 species